rnacentral:tRNA from 1 species
GGGGUUGUGGCUCGGUGGUAGAGCACUCGCCUAGCAUGUGCGAGGCCCUGGGUUCAAACCUCAGCACCA